UUUCCAUGCCUGUCACAAAUGUGAAUUCUCCCACUAGAGAAAGCAGAAAUUGCAGAAACUGAGCCCAAGAAUCUGAAAGCAUUUGAAAACCGCUUCCCCAGGUAUAUGUGGCCCAGCCUGAAGUGGAAACACCUGUGAAAGCAUGGACAAUGUUGGCAAGUCCUGGUGCAUCUCCUCUAUUUGAUUUAGCUGAACUGAGACAUAUAUGCAAGGUGAUUAGAGUCUUACGAUUACUCUCAGUGUGACAACAAUUUUUAAAAAUCACACCUUCAUAAGAUCUGUGAAAUUUCACUGAAGACCACAGCCAAGAUACCAUCUCAUCAAUAAAAUUCUAUUUCUGAAAUUUAAUUUAUUUUUUAAACCCUCUUUUAUACGAGAGAUGAAACAAAUAUGAGAAAGUUGUCAUUGGCUUUAACCUAAUACCUUUACACCAAGCUAAAUUGCCUAUAGUCUCUGGUGGUUGCUGCCCAAGAGAUCCAGCCUUUUCCAGUCUGGCUCCUUUAAGCAAUUUUCUUGACCUUUUGGAUUUCCUCUGACUUUGUUAUCACAGUUUGUCUUAUUUAAGGGUUUACAUGGAAAAAGAAUCUUGGUGUUUUUUCUUUAGUCCCCAUAUCUACAGAUAUAACAGGUUCGAUUUCCUUAGAUUUAUUGCCAUGUGUUCCCAAGCACAGGCAUGUGUAUAUCUGCUCCUCAACUUUGACAAUUUGGGGAAAUAUGAUCCAACAUCAGCCUUUAGAGCCUAAAACUCGAAGUAUAAUAAUAAUAAAAUAAAAAUAAAAUAAAAUAAAAAUAUUUUUAUUACACUAUAAAAUGGACAAAAAUUUACAAUAUUGGUAUUUGUUGUAGAGUAAAAUAAGAAAACUGAUGGUUUCAGGAUUUGAUUUUUUUUAAAGUAGUAGGUGACCUGUACAGAAGUCCUAUGUGAGCUCAUCAUACGAGACUUACAAAAGACAUUAGGAUGAAAAAAUAAGUGUUUUAUCCUUUAUUGGCCACCAACUUUUACCUUCUAAAGAAGUUAGAGAAGCUGAGAAUAGAACAGAAGAAGAGGAUAUGAGGGCCCACAGCACCCCAAGCCUAGGGAAAGUGGCUUUCAGUAAACAACAUGGAUAAUAAUAACAUGCUUGUUUCCUGAAGUUUGGAAGGCAGAGGGGAUGAGUAUUAGAUCCACAGGCAGAGACAGAGAAAUCUACAUGGAGAGAAUACAUCUUGCUAGUUAGGCUUAUAACAAAGCAAGUCACUGAAGUGGGAUUGUCCAGAGCUCUGAGUUUGUCAAAGAAAAAAAAAGUGAGAAUGUCUGUCAUGAAUCAGUUGUGCUCUGUACAAAGGGCAGAAGAUUCCAUCCAAACAAGGCACUUGGUGGGCUGAAGGACCUAAGCACACAGAAUGUGCCCUGCUGAAUGUUUAGAAGCUACAGAAGGAGUAGUCCGUGGCCAUACAGAAGGAAAUAUAUUUGCCAGCAUUAAGAGAACACUACAUGUGUUCCCUGGUGGGGAAAGGUUUAAGAAGAUCAACAAACAUGCUCCUGUGUGAGAAAGAGUAACCAAACACCUGCUAAGCCCAGGGAGACUGAAACCAACUCACACCACCAAUCAAUUGGAACUUUCUGACACCGUUUGUUGCCUCCCAUCACCAUUUUCCCAUCAGAACCAUUAGAUAAGCCCACCUUUAAAACAAGUUCAAUUUUUAAAUUUACACCAGAAAUGGAUUGUUUAUUAUAUUUAGGCUUUUCCUUUGGGGGUUGUUGGAUUUAAGUCAUCAGGCUUGUUGGUAGAUAUGUAUCUACUUGUAACUUUAUUUUUUACCAUAAUCAUGUACCAUUUUGUUUUCAAAUAUAGCUUUUAAAAUAUUGUAAACAUUGCCUGGAAAAAAUGUGUAGCACUGCUUUACUAUGUAUGAGUUGGUUAGUCACACCAUUCAAACACCCCUAUGUCUUGUCUCUCAGUCAAAUAUUAAAAAAACAGUACACACACAGUUACUACUGGUGAAAUAUGUACAUAUGUUGAACACAAUCUAAUCAUAUUUAUUAGAAUCAGGCUAAAUGUAAUAGUUUUUAAUUUUUUGAAUUAAAUUUGUCAAUUAUUAAGUAUUAUCAUUUAAAUUAUCUUAUUUGAUAGUAGCAACAGCCCUGUGGAAAACUGUAUCCCUUUCUAGGCUUAUAAUUUGUUUGUUUCUAUUCAGGGACCUAAAACUCAGAGAUAUUAGGGACUGUACAAUGUUUGCUAUUGUACUGUGUCCUUUUGAUACCCAAUGCAGAUUUCUAUCUUCAAAAAUUUUGCAAUAUUGCAUUAACUGUAUUAAUGUGAAGUAAAACAAUACUAAGGAAAUGUAUUGAUUUUAUUGUCAUAUUAAAAAUUAAGUGGUUAUUAUUAUACAUACCCACUCAGUUUUUGUGCAUGUGUAUACAUAUAGAGUAUAUUUAUAGCAAAGACAAUUCUUUAGGUUUUUAAAAAUUGGUUUUGCUUUUUUCGUGUUGUCUUAACUUUGUAUCAUCAUUUCAGUGCUCUUUUCAUAAGAUAACAUCAGCUCUCCACAGAGGAAUCCUAAUAGGAUAAAGAGAUGAGUGUACUUAGAUGGAACUCAUAUUGUCUGGGGACUUUCUGCAAAAGCCAGAUGUGGCAUGGAACCUCUCUGAAUUACCACUUAUGCAAUAUUACAACAUAUUGUCAGGGAAUGCUGUGCUACAAAAUUAAAACAGUUUAAAAAAUUCAGUAAGGAAAGAUGCCAAGCAUGCUUAUGCUGAAGCCAAGGGUCACAAGGAAAAAAGAUCAAAACAUAAUGGCAGGUCAAUCACUUAUUUUUUUAUUUAAUCAUUUGUUUAUUGUUAAUUCAUAUAUUCCCUAAUUCAUCCAACCAAUAUUUAUUGAUAAUCCACAAUAUAUGAGAUAUUAGAGAUAAGGAGAUCAUAAAAGAACAAAUAGCAAAAGCAAAUAGACAAUCAUUCAACAAAACUACCGCUGACCUAUGCUUUCAAGGAGGCAAACAAGAAAACAGAUAAAAAAUGUAUCCAUAGCAAAGACACAUACUUAAUUAUAUAUUUUUGGACACGGAUAAUGCAUGUAAGCUGUAGAACAAUACCUUUGUUUGUUGAUUUGAAAUGCAUUUUUCUACUACAAGAGAUGUCACUUUUUCUACAUAAUUUUUUUUAAUUAAUUUUUUUCAAAUGCUUAGUUAUAUGUUUUUAAUACAUCUCAAAGGAAAACAGAAAUACCACAAGAAAAAAGCAUUAUGAACAGUGAUCCUCAAGAAUUUAUAAUCAUUAGACAUAACUCUAAUGGGCAAAAUUUUUACCCACAUGGAAGUAACUUUAAGCAAGUCAUUUGUUCUUGUUAUGAAAAAUCUGUUCUGGGUGAUCUGAAAGAAUCUUGGGUUUUGUGGUUAGGCUGCCUAUUUAGAAUUUAAAUAAAUGUUUUCACUCAACCGUAUUGAAUUUUAAGAUAACAGACAGAGAGCCAAAUCAUGAGUGAACUUCAUUCACAAUUGCUACCAAGAGAACAAAAUACCUAGGAAUACAACUUACGAGGGAUGUGAAGGACCUCUUCAAGAAGAACUGCAAACCAUUGCUCAAGGAAGUAAGAGAGAACACAAAUAAAUGGAAAAACAUCCCAUGCUUACGGAUAGGAGGAAUCAAUAUGAAAAUGGCCAUACUGCCGAAACAAAUUUGUAGAUUCAAUGCUAUCCCCAUUAAGCUACCAUUGAAUUUCCUCACAGAAUUGAAAAAAAAAAAAAAAAAAAAACUACUUUAAACUUCAUUUGGAACCAAACAAGAGCCCACAUAGCCAAGACAAUCCUAAGCAAAAAUAACAAAGCUGGAGACAUCAAACUACCUGACUUCAAACUAUACUACAAGGCUACAGUAACCAAAACAACAUGGUACUGCUACCAAAACAGAUAUGUAGACAAAUGGAACAGAACAGAGGUCUCAGAAAUAACACCAUACAUCUAUAACCAUGUGAUCUUUGACAAACCUAACAAAAACAAGCAAUGGGGAAAGGAUUCCCUAUUUGAUAACUGGUGUUAGGAAAACUGGCUAGCCAUAUGCAGAAAACUAAAACUGAACCCCUUCCUUACAUCUUAUACAAAAAUUAAGUCAACAUGGAUUAAAGACUUACAUGUAAGACCUCAAACGACAAAAAUCCUAGAGGAAAACCUAGGCAAUACCAUUCAGGACAUAGGCAUGGGCAAAGACUUCACGUCUAAAACACCAAAAGCAAUGGCAAAAAAAAGCCAAAAUUGGCAAAUAGGAUCUAAUUAAACUAACGCGCUUCUGCACAGCAAAAGAAACUGUCAUCAGAGUGAACAGGCAACCUACAGAAUGGGAGAACAUUUUUGCAAUCUAUCCAUCUGACAAAGGGCUAAUAUCCAGAAUCUACAAAGAACUUAAACAAAUUUACAAGAAAAAAAAUAAACAACCCCAUAAAAAGUGGGCAAAGGAUAUGAACAGACACUUCUCAAAAGAAGACAUUUAUGCAGCCAAUAAACAUGAAAAAAAGCCCAUCAUCACUGGUCAUUAUAGAAAUGCAAAUCAAAACCACAAUGAGAUACCAUCUCAUGCCAGUUAGAAUGGCGAUCAUUAAAAUGUCAGGAAACAACUGAUGCUGGAGAGGAUGUGGAGAAAUAGGAACGCUUUUACACUGUUGGUGAGAGUGUUAAUUAGUUCAACCAUUGUGGAAGACAGUGUGGCGAUUCCUCACGGAUCUAGAACUAGAAAUACCAUUUGACCCAGCAAUCCCAUUACUGGGUAUAUACCCAAAGGAUUAUAAAUCAUUCUACUAUAAAGACACAUGCACACGUAUGUUUAUUGCAGCACUGUUCACAAUAGCAAAGACUUGGAAUGAACCCCAAUGCCCAUCAAUGUUAGAAUGGAUAAAGAAAAUGUGGCACAUAUACACCAUGGAAUACUAUGCAGCUGUAAAAAAAGAUGAGUUCAUGUCCUUUGCAGGGACAUGGAUGAAGCUGGAAACCAUCAUUCUCAGCAAACUAACAUAAGAACAGAAAACCAAAACCAUAUGUUCUCACUCAUAAGUGGGAGUUUAACAAUGAGAACACAUGGACACAGGGAGGGGAACAUCACACACCGGGGCCUGUCAGGGACUGGGGGGCUAGGGAAGGGAUAGCAUUAGGAGAAAUACCUAAUGUAGAUGAUGAGUUGAUGGGUGCAGCAAACCACCAUGGCACGUGUAUAUGUAUGUAACAAAACUGCACGUUCUGCACAUGUACCCUAUAACUUAAAGUAUAGUAAAAAAUAAAAUAACAAAAUAAAAUAUACACACAAAAGAAGCAAUUUAGGUAAACUUUUCAAUGUUGUUUAUACAUUGUGUAACUAUUACAAAUUUAAGAUUAAGAUAAUUAAGAGGAUAUUAAGAAGGUAAUUUCCAUCACUCUGUACAUACUCUUUGUGUGACUUCACAGUCUCUAGAAAUUACAUUUGCCUUUUCUAGAGUUUCAUAUAAAUGGGUUCACAAAAUAUACACUCUGGUCUAUGGCUCCUUCACUCAGCAUGUUUCAGAAAUUCAUCCAUGUUGUUGUUAUCAUUCACUACCUCCAUUAUUCAGCAC
rnacentral:lncRNA from 1 species